rnacentral:rRNA from 1 species
GACGUAGGGCGCAAGCGUUGUCCGGAAUCAUUGGGCGUAAAGAGCUCGUAGGUGGUCUGUUACGUCUGCUGUGAAAACCUAGGGCUUAACCCUGGGCCUGCAGUGGAUACGGGCAGACUAGAGGUAGGUAGGGGAGAAUGGAAUUCCCGGUGUAGCGGUGAAAUGCGCAGAUAUCGGGAGGAACACCGGUGGCGAAGGCGGCGACCUGGACAGGUACUGACACUCAACUACGAAAGCGUGGGGAGCAAACAGG